UACGAAGGGGGCUAGCGUUGCUCGGAAUCACUGGGCGUAAAGGGUGCGUAGGCGGGUCUUUAAGUCAGUGGUGAAAUCUUCGAGCUUAACUCGGAAACUGCCUUUGAUACUAUCUAUCUUGAAUAUUGUGGAGGUAAGCGGAAUAUGUCAUGUAGCGGUGAAAUGCUUAGAUAUGACAUAGAACACCUAUUGCGAAGGCAGCUUACUACGCAUAUAUUGACGCUGAGGCACGAAAGCGUGGGGAUCAAACAGG
rnacentral:rRNA from 1 species